AGGAUGAACGCUAGCUACAGGCUUAACACAUGCAAGUCGAGGGGCAGCGGGAUUGAAGCUUGCUUCAAUUGCCGGCGACCGGCGCACGGGUGAGUAACGCGUAUCCAACCUUCCGUACACUCAGGGAUAGCCUUUCGAAAGAAAGAUUAAUACCUGAUGGUAUGAUGAGAUUGCAUGAUAGCAUCAUUAAAGAUUUAUCGGUGUACGAUGGGGAUGCGUUCCAUUAGGUAGUAGGCGGGGUAACGGCCCACCUAGCCUACGAUGGAUAGGGGUUCUGAGAGGAAGGUCCCCCACAUUGGAACUGAGACACGGUCCAAACUCCUACGGGAGGCAGCAGUGAGGAAUAUUGGUCAAUGGACGAGAGUCUGAACCAGCCAAGUAGCGUGAAGGAUGAAGGUCCUACGGAUUGUAAACUUCUUUUAUAAGGGAAUAAAACCUCCCACGUGUGGGAGCUUGUAUGUACCUUAUGAAUAAGCAUCGGCUAACUCCGUGCCAGCAGCCGCGGUAAUACGGAGGAUGCGAGCGUUAUCCGGAUUUAUUGGUUUAAAGGGAGCGCAGACGGGUCGUUAAGUCAGCUGUGAAAGUUUGGGGCUCAACCUUAAAAUUGCAGUUGAUACUGCGUCCUUGAGUGCGGUUGAGUGUGCGAUUCGUGGUGUAGCGUGAAUGCUUAGAAUAUCACGAAGAACUCCGAUGCGAAGGCAGCACAC
rnacentral:rRNA from 2 species